rnacentral:rRNA from 1 species
AUUGAACGCUGGCGGCAGGCCUAACACAUGCAAGUCGAACGAGUGGCGGACGGGUGAGUAAUGUCUGGGAAACUGCCUGAUGGAGGGGGAUAACUACUGGAAACGGUAGCUAAUACCGCAUACCAUCGGAUGUGCCCAGAUGGGAUUAGCUUGUAGGUGGGGUAAAGGCUCACCUAGGCGACGAGCCCUAGCUGGGAGAAGAGGAUGACCAGCGACACUGGAACUGAGACACGGUCCAAAGUCCUACGGAAGGCAGCAGUGGGGAAUAUUGCACAAGGGGCGAAAGCCUGAAGCAGCCAUGCCGCGUGUAUGAAGAAGGCCUUCGGGUUGUAAAGUACUUUAAGCGGGGAGGCGUUACCCGCAGAAGAAGCACCGGCUAACUCCGUGCCAGCAGCCGCGGUAAUUC